ACAGGACAGGUACAGCACAGGCAGCGACAGUGCAAUCUUUCCCCACACCACCUGGUUGUUGUGUCUCAACCCUGACCUGGACGGACCAUCUCUAGA
ensembl:misc_RNA